rnacentral:tRNA from 1 species
GCCUCGGUGGCUUAGCUGGUUAGAGCGACGGCUUCGUAAGCCGUAAAUCGGGGGUUAAAAUCCCCCUCGAGGCU